CAGCCGUAAACUAUGCGCGUUAGGUGUAUCGGUGACCACGAGUUACCGAGGUGCCGAAGGGAAACCGUGAAACGUGCCGCCUGGGAAGUACGGUCGCAAGGCUGAAACUUAAAGGAAUUGGCGGGGGAGCAUCACAACAGGUGGAGCCUGCGGUUUAAUUGGACUCAACGCCGGGAAGCUCACCGGAUAGGACAGCAGAAUGAUUGCCGGGCUGAAGACCCUGCAUGACUAGCUGAGAGGUGGUGCAUGGCGUCAGUGACU
rnacentral:rRNA from 1 species